AUCCUUUUGUAGUUCAUAAGUGUGAUGAUUGGGUCUUCACACGCAUGCGUGAGAUGUGCCUCCCACAAAUUUGUGGCACAUUACCAGUCUGACA
ensembl:snoRNA